AUGAAAAGGCAGUUUGAGGAUGAGAGAGAGCUCCACAUCUCCCUGAGAGGAUUCAGACAUGGAGGGGACGACACACAUCAAAGAAUCUGGAUGGGGCUGGCUAUGCUUUGACUAAGCCACACCCCUUCUCAACUUCCACCUCGAGGAGGUCCCCAAAGCCAACCCAAUGGCCAAACAACACGAGAACAAGUAAGUGAUAAAACAAUCUUUAUUUAAAUAUUUAAAAAUAGCUUGGGGAAUAGGGAAAGGGCAAUUAAAACUAAACUCUGACUCGGCCCUCCAGAUGGGCUAUGGCCGGGAAGAGGUCAGGGAGCAAGGGGGCCACGGGGAUCCGGGGCGUGGGACUCGGGCCCCGGCCUGAGUCUUAGGUAUCCGUAGCGCCCUCCUUCUUCCUCCUCUUCG
ensembl:lncRNA